AUUGAACGCUGGCGGCAUGCCUUACACAUGCAAGUCGAACGGCAGCACGGGAGCAAUCCUGGUGGCGAGUGGCGAACGGGUGAGUAAUAUAUCGGAACGUGCCCAGUCGUGGGGGAUAACGUAGCGAAAGCUACGCUAAUACCGCAUACGAUCUAUGGAUGAAAGCGGGGGAUCGCAAGACCUCGCGCGAUUGGAGCGGCCGAUAUCAGAUUAGGUAGUUGGUGGGGUAAAAGCCUACCAAGCCUUCGAUCUGUAACUGGUCUGAGAGGACGACCAGCCACACUGGAACUGAGACACGGUCCAGACUCCUACGGGAGGCAGCAGUGGGGAAUUUUGGACAAUGGGCGCAAGCCUGAUCCAGCAAUGCCGCGUGCAGGAUG
rnacentral:rRNA from 1 species